rnacentral:rRNA from 1 species
GCGCUCAAGCGAAAAAGACUCUCAAGGAAUUGGGAAAAAGACGCCGUUAGAACUGCCCAAAAAGCAUUCGAUAUGGUCCUUGAACCCUAUCUGCUACAGAACCCCAGCCAGGCCUAUGAAGUGCGUCGGUUAAGCUAAUCUUCCCAGGGUGAGUCGGGACCUAAGGCGAGGUCGACAGGCGUAGUCGAUGGAUAACCAGUUGAUAUUCUGGUACCCGUGGUGAUGCGACAAGUGGUGAAUCAGUGGUACUAACCGCCCAUUAAUUGCAUGUGUUCAUACUUUGUGUGGGUGUGUGUGGUUGUGCGUGGGACCUUCGUUGGUAGUAGCCAAGUGAUGGGGUGACGCAGUGAGGUAGCCGAGCCACUUAUUGGAUUGUGGUGUAAGCGUGUGGCCCGUGGCAUAGGUAAAUCCGUGCUGCAUUGUAAGGGUGAGGCGUGAUGCGUACCCUUUUUGGGGAUGUUGGUGAUCCUGUACUGUCGAGAAAAGCCUCUAGCGAGUGUCAUUAUGGCCCGUACCCUAAACCGACACAGGUGGUCAGGUAGAGAAUACUAAGGCGAUCGGGUGAACUGUGGUUAAGGAACUCGGCAAAAUGCCCCCGUAACUUCGGGAGAAGGGGGACCAUUGUUGGUGACAGACUGAUGGAGCUGAUGGUGGUCGCAGAGAAUAGAGGGAAGCGACUGUUUAUUAAAAACACAGGUCCGUGCGAAAACGUGGAAGUUGAUGUAUACGGACUGACGCCUGCCCGGUGCUGGAAGGUUAAGAGGACCUGUUAGAUCUCUUUGGGGGUCGAAGCGGAGAAUUUAAGCCCCAGUAAACGGCGGUGGUAACUAUAACCAUCCUAAGGUAGCGAAAUUCCUUGUCGGGUAAGUUCCGACCUGCACGAAUGGCGUAACGACUUCCCUGCUGUCUCAACCACAGGCCCGGUGAAAUUGCAGUACGAGUAAAGAUGCUCGUUACGCGCGGCAGGACGAAAAGACCCCCGGGGACUCACUAUAGCUUGGUAUUGGUGUUUGGUUCGGUUUGUGUAGGAUAGGUGGGAGACUGUGAUACUGCGCCGCUAGGUGUGGUGGAGUCGCAAGUUGAAAUACCACUCUGAUCGGAUUGAGCACCUUAACCUUGGCCCAUGAUCUGGGUUGGGGACAGUGCCUGGUGGGUAGUUUAACUGGGGCGGUUGCCUCCUAAAAUGUAACGGAGGCGCCCAAAGGUUCCCUCAGCCUGGUUGGCAAUCAGGUGGUGAGUGUAAGUGCACAAGGGAGCUUGACUGUGAGACUGACAGGUCGAGCAGGGACGAAAGUCGGGACUAGUGAUCCGGCACCUACUUGUGGAAGUGGUGUCGCUCAACGGAUAAAAGGUACCCCGGGGAUAACAGGCUGAUCUUCCCCAAGAGUCCAUAUCGACGGGAUGGUUUGGCACCUCGAUGUCGGCUCGUCGCAUCCUGGGGCUGGAGUAGGUCCCAAGGGUUGGGCUGUUCGCCCAUUAAAGCGGCACGCGAGCUGGGUUUAGAACGUCGUGAGACAGUUCGGUCUCUAUCCGCCGUGCGCGUUGAAACUUGAAGAAGGCUGUCCCUAGUACGAGAGGACCGGGACGGACGUACCUCUAGUGUGCCAGUUGUCACGCCAGUGGCAGGGCUGGUUGGCUACGUACGGAAGGGAUAACCGCUGAAAGCAUCUAAGCGGGAAGCCUGUUUUAAGAUGAGGUUUCUUUUGAGGUUCCCUCGAGACGAGGGGGUUGAUAGGCCAGAUCUGGAAGAGUGGUAACACUUGGAGGUGACUGGUACUAAUUUACCGAUAAACAACCAUA